GCUGCUGUAGCCCAACUGGAAGAGGCGCUGGUCUUAGAAACCAGAGGUUGUGGGGUUCUCCCUUCGGGAGACGCUAACGCGAACGACUCCCACCAGCAGUA
rnacentral:tRNA from 2 species